UUAGCUUGCUUGCAUGCUAGCUUGUACAUGAAAUCUUCGGUUCGUCGUUGGACUGCAGCAGGAGAGGAAUACUCUGUUGCAGUACUUUUUGUAGAAGAAGACGAACGAGGAAGAAGAAAACAACAACAGCAACGAUAUGUCUGCAACUGCUGCUGAUUCCGAAUCCGAGGUAUUCGAGAUCACCGAUUUCACCACCGCGUCAGAGUGGGAAAGGUUUGUGUCAAAGGUUGAAGAGGUGCUAAAUGAAUGGAAGCUAACUGGAAACUCUAAGAGGAGGUUAUCCAGAGAAAAGGGUGAUUAUACAAGUGGCAUCUGGGUAGAGCAAUCUCAGGAAAUUAAUUUUGUGGAUUUUAAAUUCUCCAUAACCCACUACGCCCUGGCACAAGAGCCGAACGACAAUGCAAAUGAUGACUUGGAGGAAGAUGACGUUCCUGUUGCAAUGCAGGACCUUCUGUGCACAAAUAAUGACUUCCCCCCCCGAGCCCACUGCUUGGUCAGAUGGUACGGUAUUCGAGAGUUUGUGGUCAUUUCUCCUGGAACCAACGUUGAGGCUAUCAUCAGCGAGUCAAAGUGCAAUUUGCUUCUAAGCUCCAUCUCGGUUUCUUUGGUCAACAGUGGCUGCCAAGUCCCCAUGUUUGUGCAGAUUCAGCAAAAGUGGAGGCGAAUGUACGCCGGUGAAUGCCAGGGACCGAGUGUCCGUACUGAAUUUGAGAUGGUACACCUUCGCAAGGUACCAAGCCAGUACAACCACCUGUCUGGCCUUCUGGACAUCUUCAAAUCAAAAUCAGGAUAUACCAUGUACCCCUUACCUCCAAUCAACAUUGCAAUCCGUUUUACCUACGUUCUUCAGGACUGGCAACAGUAUUCAUGGCCACUCCAGCCCCCAGACUUUGAUAACCUUCUUAAAGGUGAGGUGGGAGUGGAGGAGUUUGGGAAGCUUCCGUUUGGAGCAUGUGAGGAAACAAUAAGUGAGCUUCAGCUAUCAACCACGUGGCCUGACUUGACGGAAGGCACAGUUUUGGACAAUGAUGUCUACAGUGAUCUUGACCCUCUACAUGCGCCUCACUGGUCAGUCCGAGCCAGGGCAGUUGAAAAUCCUCAGUGUUUACUGGGUGACUUGCUGACAGAGUUCUUUAAGCUAUGUGGAAGGAAGGAAACAACAGAAGAGGUUCUUGGAAGAGGAUUGGCUGAGGAGGAGGGAAAAGAUGGCGAUAUCACCUCUGCUUUAUCAAAGCUGACAGAACCCGCUGCAUCAGUGCCAAUCUCCAAACUGUCUGUGUCCAACAUGAUGCACAAUGCUCGAAGGCACAUUCGGCGUCAUAGACUAACUGAUGAGUCCCCACUUAGCGCUGAUAUUCUUAACUCUAUUCUUCAGUAUCUAUUUGCAGAUUCUGUCGUGGAUAAAACAUCCAAAAAUAAAAUCACACAAGCGGAUUGCAGUGGAAAGGCCAGGAAAGAUGAAAAUACUGACGACCUUUAUAUUCAGCUGAAGUCGGCACCACUUGAAAGUCUGACCUAUCGCCUGGCACUGUGUGUGUGUCUGGUCAACUUCUACCAUGGUGGGUUACGCUCUGUUGCCUACCUCUGGCAGGAGUUUGUCCUAGAGUUGCGAGACCGCUGGGAAAACAAUUACCAAAUCAACGGAUUGCCAGAAGAACCACCUGAUCUUCGCUGUUGUCUUUUGCAUCAGAAGUUUCAGAUGCUGAAUUGCUGCAUCAAGCGCAGGCAAGCCAGAGAUAACCUUUGCAAGGCUCCUGAGAGAAGCAAAGGAAGAGAUCACCAGAACAUCCGCCGGUCAGAGAUCACAGCAACACCUUCAUCCAGCGAAACGACUGCUUUUUCAACUGGCAAAUCCUGGGAUUCUUGGAGUGACAGCGAAGAAGAGUUCUUUGAAUGUCUGAGUGAUCAAGGGGAGAAUGAGUCGCCGCAUAGUCGGAGUGACAAACACGGCAGUAAAACUCGAGCAGAGGGUAGAAUGCACCCGUACAACAACAUGAGCCUGAUUAACUCUUCGGAGCUUCUCUUUAUUCCUGUGACACAAGAACCUGCUCCCAUGACCGAGGAUUUAUUAGAGGAGCAGUCGGAAAUCCUUGCAAAACUGGGCACAUCCGCCGAAGGUGCCCAACUCCGUGCUCGGAUGCAGAGUGCCUGUCUUCUCUCUGACAUGGAGUCUUUUAAGGCAGCCAACCCAGGUUCCGUUCUUGAGGACUUUGUGCGCUGGUACUCACCCAGGGAUUUUUUGGAGGAGGAAGUGGUCAAUGAGAAAGGUGAAACAGUCUUGAAAGGUGAGCUCAGUGCGAGGAUGAAGAUUCCAGGCAACAUGUGGGUUGAGACGUGGGAGAAUGCCAGGGCCGUACCUGCAAAUCGCCAGAAAAGGCUUUUUGACGACACCAAGGAAGCAGAAAAGGUGUUGCAUUAUUUGGAAAUGCAGAAACCUGCAGACCUGACUUGCCAUCUCCUGCCCUGCAUAAUACAUGCUGCAAUUCUAAAGUUGAAGGAUGAAGAGUCAGUGGACAACAUUCCAUCAGUCAAAAAAACCACCCAGAAAGCUACAGCUCAAGCAAGCAAGCUGCUGCAACAAUCCAAUCCGGACUAUAAUCAUUUAAAGGAUUGCCUUGACUUUUUGAGUACCAUGGAGAAAAUCAUCGCCCAGUUUCGGUCUCUCAAACAAAAGUUUGCCAUUGAUGAGGCUGAGAAAGGCCAGGACAAAGAGGAAUUGAAAAAUUUUGUAAACUCUCUGCUAGAAGAGCCGGAGGUUGUUGUAAGCGGAGCUGGUCAAGGCAAUAUUGGCAGCAUCAUCCACAGGCUGUUUGCCGUUGCUCAAGAGGUUGCUCAUUAGGGGUUAACAAGAAAAAGAAGAAAAUCAUUCACUUUGAUUAAAAAGUAAAAAGAGUGUUCUUGUCUCGAGGCCUUUGGAUAUUUUUCUCUGGCCAGCCGGACAAAGUCUUCAGCACUGUCCAGAGACACCAGGCGAUCCUAAAGAAGACGUGGAAAUAUUGAGGUCAGUAUGCAAUCCCUGCAUAUGACAGUAUAUGUACAGUAAAUUAGCAAGUUGGUCCUUUUUUAUUGAGUUAGUGACGGAAAAAAGGGAACCCAGAUGCUUUGUGUGUGUGUUCGAGUGUACCAUAACAUAGAGGUAUCUGGUCUGAUGUCCAGUUCCUGGAGGAAAUAGGGAUGUAUGGUCCAAUAACUGAGACAACAGCUCAGUGGCUUUAUUAAGACUCGCCUGGUCUCGAAUUAGGCGACUUUGUUUGUUGACAUACAACAAGGCAUCCACCUCAGCCUGAUAACCUGCAGGCAGAAAAGGCAAUGUUGUGACACAUCAGAGCAUCAAUUCCACUUUAUAGAGUUUUGUAAAAUUGAGCUGCAUUCAGUGGAUAUGUGGAACAACAUGUCUCACCUAACUGCAGCAGGAUUUUCUUCCAUCGAGCUCUCACUUCGCGUCGGGCAUACCGCAAAGUGUGGAUGUCAUAAUUCAGCUUCUCCCAUUCCUUGGGCAAACACGUUAAGUAAGAUGGGGGGAAUUAAUGUAGGACAUGCAUGGAAACAGUGCAAUGAACACUGGUUUAUUGCAAAUUGCAAAUGACUAAAAAACAAGGACACAUAAAAAAAAAAAAUAAAACAUACCAAUCCUUGAGGCUACUCGGCUCAAUCAACACAUGCAAUGAUUUAAAAAAAGCAUAUAUUUUUUUAAUUACUAGAAAAUAUACAAAAUAUAUAUAUAAAAAAAAAACAACAACAAAAAAACCCUCUGUAGUUCUGGUUAAGAUUGAAGCAAAAUGAAACAUUUACACAGAAGAGACUGAUUGAGUCUAAAAGGUCCUAAGUGUGACUUUUUUGGUAUAAAAUUGUACUGCUAAAAAAUAAUGCAUAGAAAAUCAACAUUGUUAUAAUUUAUUGACGUAAAAGUCCAGCCUAUUCCACCGGCACUUCAUUAUCGCAAUAUUGUGGUUCGAUUAUUACUCCCUUGUAAAACCGCAGUUUUUCAGAAAUUAAUUAAUACAUGAUCACUGUUUCGUGGUAGACUACGUUCUAAUAUUAGUCAAAACAUAAGUCAUAUGUAGUGUUGUGGUCACUCGGCGGCAGUCCUUACAAUACUUUACCUUAAGUCAGCCAUGGCAUGUCCGACAUGAUAGAGUGGAAAAAAGAUCCUCCUCCCAUUGCGUGUGGAAGUGGUAAGUUUUUGGCUUCUUAAGUUUAAGAAAUAAAUUUGAGGCUAUGGAGUGUAAAGGUGAUUAUAGGGGUGUUAUUUAAUGUCUACAGGGCUCUAAUCACGUUAAAAACCGUAUUUAGAAAGUCAUAAACAGGAUUUGUAUACUCUAACUAUGAAUGUAUUCCAUUUAUUAACAUUGAAUCCUAUAUCGUGGAACUUCAUAUAACGCGGUCGGAGUAUUUAAUGUGCUUUAGGGGGUGCUAAUUAUGACAAAAACAAAGAUACCGGUAAUAAAUAUUUAAAAAAUGAAUACAAAUGUUGACUUGGGCUGGAGAUU